rnacentral:rRNA from 1 species
GAUGAACGCUGGCGGCGUGCCUAAUACAUGCAAGUCGAGCGAACGGACGAGAAGCUUGCUUCUCUGAUGUUAGCGGCGGACGGGUGAGUAACACGUGGAUAACCUACCUAUAAGACUGGGAUAACUUCGGGAAACCGGAGCUAAUACCGGAUAAUAUUUUGAACCGCAUGGUUCAAAAGUGAAAGACGGUCUUGCUGUCACUUAUAGAUGGAUCCGCGCUGCAUUAGCUAGUUGGUAAGGUAACGGCUUACCAAGGCAACGAUGCAUAGCCGACCUGAGAGGGUGAUCGGCCACACUGGAACUGAGACACGGUCCAGACUCCUACGGGAGGCAGCAGUAGGGAAUCUUCCGCAAUGGGCGAAAGCCUGACGGAGCAACGCCGCGUGAGUGAUGAAGGUCUUCGGAUCGUAAAACUCUGUUAUUAGGGAAGAACAUAUGUGUAAGUAACUGUGCACAUCUUGACGGUACCUAAUCAGAAAGCCACGGCUAACUACGUGCCAGCAGCCGCGGUAAUACGUAGGUGGCAAGCGUUAUCCGGAAUUAUUGGGCGUAAAGCGCGCGUAGGCGGUUUUUUAAGUCUGAUGUGAAAGCCCACGGCUCAACCGUGGAGGGUCAUUGGAAACUGGAAAACUUGAGUGCAGAAGAGGAAAGUGGAAUUCCAUGUGUAGCGGUGAAAUGCGCAGAGAUAUGGAGGAACACCAGUGGCGAAAGCGACUUUCUGGUCUGUAACUGACGCUGAUGUGCGAAAGCGUGGGGAUCAAACAGGAUUAGAUACCCUGGUAGUCCACGCCGUAAACGAUGAGUGCUAAGUGUUAGGGGGUUUCCGCCCCUUAGUGCUGCAGCUAACGCAUUAAGCACUCCGCCUGGGGAGUNCGACCGCAAGGUUGAAACUCAAAGGAAUUGACGGGGACCCGCACAAGCGGUGGAGCAUGUGGUUUAAUUCGAAGCAACGCGAAGAACCUUACCAAAUCUUGACAUCCUUUGACAACUCUAGAGAUAGAGCCUUCCCCUUCGGGGGACAAAGUGACAGGUGGUGCAUGGUUGUCGUCAGCUCGUGUCGUGAGAUGUUGGGUUAAGUCCCGCAACGAGCGCAACCCNUAAGCUUAGUUGCCAUCANUAAGUUGGGCACUCUAAGUUGACUGCCGGUGACAAACCGGAGGAAGGUGGGGAUGACGUCAAAUCAUCAUGCCCCNUAUGAUUUGGGCUACACACGUGCUACAAUGGACAAUACAAAGGGCAGCGAAACCGCGAGGUCAAGCAAAUCCCAUAAAGUUGUUCUCAGUUCGGAUUGUAGUCUGCAACUCGACUACAUGAAGCUGGAAUCGCUAGUAAUCGUAGAUCAGCAUGCUACGGUGAAUACGUUCCCGGGUC